AUAUCAGAGCGGUAAGACCUCUGUGGGUUCCUCUGGUGUUCCCUUCCGUAGGUUGGCAAAGCCAGAGGGCACGCACCCACAGGGCACGCUCUUUUU
rnacentral:sRNA from 12 species